rnacentral:rRNA from 1 species
AACGCGAAGAACCUUACCAAGGCUUGACAUGAACCGGAACGGCGCAGAGAUGUGUCGGCCACUUGUGGCCGGUUUACAGGUGGUGCAUGGUUGUCGUCAGCUCGUGUCGUGAGAUGUUGGGUUAAGUCCCGCAACGAGCGCAACCCUCGUUCCAUGUCGUCAGCGGGUUAUGCCGGGGACUCAUGGGAGACUGCCGGGGUCAACUCGGAGGAAGGUGGGGACGACGUCAAAUCAUCAUGCCCCUUAUGUCUUGGGCUUCACGCAUGCUACAAUGGCCGGUACAAAGGGUUGCGAUGCUGUGAGGUGGAGCUAAUCCCAAAAAGCCGGUCUCAGUUCGGAUUGAGGUCUGCAACUCGACCUCAUGAAGUCGGAGUCGCUAGUAAUCGCAGAUCAGCAACGCUGCGGUGAAUACGUUCCCGGGCCUUGUACACACCG